GUCUCUUUCGAGACAUCCUAUAAACUUGAAACGAUAUAUAUAGAAGAUUAGCAUAACCGUACACAAAUAUGACAUGCACAAAUCAAAAAAAUGAUCUAAAAUUUU